CUCUGCACUAAACAUUCUUUGAGUGAUGAUAUAACUGGGGUAUUGAAGUGAUCCCUUUUCCUUCAGGCGCUUGAAAUGGCGAUUCACGAUGUCAGUAUCUACUUUAUUGGUUAUUAAUGCUGGUUACUUCGUGUAUGGAUUGGUUUAAACAUAUCUAAUAGACAUUGCAUAACGGCAUAUGUACGUAUGAGAGCAUGAACAUUGAAGUGAUUGGACUAGAAAACGGGCUAUAUUCUACGAAGAUGAAAAACAAGCGAGUGGAAAAACACGAUCCAUGUCUUGUGGUUUUCACAACUGGAAGAGAAGUUGGACAAAGCCAUAAGCCAGGGGAAUUUUACCGAGGCUGAGAAAUUGAGUGAUCAAAUGUCCCAAGAAGAACUUGCUGUUAAGAUAACUGAAGCAAUAAGUACAAGAGAUUCCCAAAAGGCAAACAAUUCUAAUAUAAAAUGGAAUAAAUCCAAAAGAAAGGAAACAUUACUUUGGGAUUUCAACAGAAAGAAAGAUGGAAGAGCAAAGGAAAUAUGUAAAAUGAAAGAUAUAGCUUACAAGGUUGGAAAUAUGUUGAAAUUGUUUGUAUUUGACAUUUUUAUUCCUGGCAACUUGAUAUGUAAUUUUGAUAAUAAAGUGAUUUUAUAAA